UGUGGGGGGGUGUGCUUUUUUUUAAAAUGCAUCCCUGUGUUUUCGAAACGGGACAGGAGGAAAGGACUCUUCCUGCAAUUCUGAAAUCUGGAUGGGGGUUUUGAAAAAUUGAAUGGUGGAACAUGCAUUUUGGCUUUUUGGGGGUUCUGUUUGAAUCCGCUUCUGAUCGAAUGAAAUUGAAUGGGCUCUUGAAUCUAGUGAAAAGAGUGAACGUGGAUUGGCUGCAACGUUGGAGAUUUCCUCCUUUGAGCGUAGGAAUCCAGCCUUGCUACUUCCACGAGUAAGUCAAACCCAAGGGGGGAGGAGGUAAUGCCCUUUCUUGACUAGAUUCUCUUUAACCCAGAUGGACUCUAUUUGACCUCUUCUGUUGUUUAUGAGAUGAGAUGCUACUCUCUAAUGUAAUGACUUUUAUCAUGAUUCUAUGAUAUGAUGUUGGUUAUGCAUUUUA